rnacentral:tRNA from 1 species
UAAAGGUUAGUGUCCACUAGAAACACGUAUAAAUUUGGAUUAUGAAAAGGAACUAGCUAUUCCACCUUUAA